AGCUGAACUGUCCUGUAACCCUGAUUGAAUGGAAAUGGCAUGACCUGAGAAGGAUCCAUAAGGCACUCCAUUGUUCUUUCUAUAUGGUCGUCACCUAUUUAUUAUCUGUUUAAGAAGAUAGAAAUCAGCCACCAUCUUUGUGCUGUCCAUUUGGCUUGUACUGUUCGGUAGACUUUUCUUUGUUUGAAUGCUUUUAAAUUUCUUUGUUUUAGAUUUCUUAAUUAUUUUUCUUGAACACUCUUUUCCCAUUUGUUUCCUUCCUUUGUUUCUUUUAUGUUGAAAUCACUGCACGCAAAGUUAUUUGUUGCAAAAGGGUAAUGAUGAUGUCAAAGGCAGGAAAGGCAGUGCUUCUAUCCCUUCACCGCUUGCGAUCGCAGGCAUCACAGCCAAGUUAUUUUAAGGAUGCUGACUGACUGCCAGAAUAAAAAAUAGGACUAAUAUAACAAAUAUAUAGAGACGAAGAGGGGAGACUUAUCAUGAUCGAAUCUUAAAGACUUAACUCAGAUUUAAUCUCAGUCGUUUAUCAAUCUUUCUCCCCGACAACGGCGGAACAAGUGCUUUGUAAAAUCUGAGCCGUCGAUCACACAACGGCUUUCCCUUUUCCACCCGCCUAUUUAUUAGACUCUCCUCCUCCUUUCCCCUCCUCCGUGUUCUCUCUCUCUCUGUCCCUUUCUUUCUUGAAGAUUUGUUUCUUUUCCUUGGAGGGCGGCAACCGAUCGAGCGAGGCGGCGGCGGGCAUCAUGGAUCUCGACGAGCGCCAAUGUUGGAGAAGGCGGUAUAAGAGUCCUAUAUGCGGACGGAGUGCUGUUCGGGAUCUCGGUACCACGGGAAACGUGGCAAGGACAACGGAGAUGAUGGAGAGAGGAGGGACUCCAACGAUCUACGGCGGAGGAGCGUAACACGGUGAGAAGCGCCACCGCGGGAAGUGCCGGGUGAUGGACCGGUAGCAGCGGGGAGGAGACGGGAUAAGGAGGAGAGGAGAAAGGAAAGAAAAAAAAAUGUAACAAGAAAAGGGAACAUGGAGAGAGAGAGAGAGAGAGAGAGAGAGAGAGAGAGAGAGAGGGGAGCAGGGGAACUGAAAUCUUGAGAAAGACAUUGGUUAGAGAGAAAGCAGGUUUGAUGAUGAUGGCCACCCACAAUCUUUUUUUGACGUUCCAACAUGCUACGGUUUGAAGACCCUAUCAUGCUCGGAAAGUUUUAUCAACUUUUUCUACUUGCUGAUUUGUUAUAGGUUAGUGAAACAGCAUUUUGGUUUUUUUUAUGAUUAUCUGGUGAUUUAUUAGAUUUCUUCUUUCUGUGGCUCCACAUACUUUUUUAUUUGGUAUAUUUGAUGAUGAGAAAGACUGCUUCUUUCAUGGGAUUAAAAAUGUCAUAUGCAUGCCAGAGCUCCCUGUAAGUGAACUCUCAUGUAAGUAGUUGCUUCUAAAGCAGCAUAUCUUUUGGAAUUUUAUUGUAGUUUCCAGGUGAGGGAUGUUCUUGUUAUCAUGGAUCAAAACCCAAGAAUGUCAAAAGGAAUUGGGUCUCUCUCUCUCUCAAACACACGACUCUAUGUUGGCUAGCACUAUUAUUUGCAUGUAUUUAUUUUUGGGUGAUGCCAAGCGAUAUACCAUGAAAUUCUCCAUUAUUAAUCAUCAAUUUCUACAAGAACCUUUACACAUUCUAUUUUCCAUGAUAUAAUUUAGACUCUCGAAUUUUGAUUGUAACACUUAAAUUUAUGUUCUUUGAAGUGUGGAGUUUGCUUAUGGGGUUUAGCUUAUGUUUCUUACCAAGUUAUGAUAAGCAAUUUUGUUACAUAUAGUUAAACAUGUGUUGCUGCUAUCUUGCCUAAACAAAUAUCUAGUUGUAUAUCUUCUGAUAAAUUAUUUCCUGUUAUUAUUGCUAGAUAUGUGUCCUUUGGUUUCCUGAAUUUACAUCAAAGGAAAAUGGCAAAAAGUGCCCCAAGUUUAAUCUGUGGCUUUGAGGAUGGACACCUCUCAAAUGGUGGUAACCUUUCACAGAAGUCUUCUCACUUGGAAGAAACCUCCACCACUUAAAUUCUGUCUUUUUAGACCUCAAGCCCUUCUUCACAAUUUUGUGGGAGAAAUCCCUUUUAGUUAGUUUGGCGUGGAUCUUAAAUUUUUGUGGGAAUUCUUUCGCUUAGAAUUUUGCUUCUAGGUUAAAAGCAUCAAUGUUUUAAGGAUAUCCUACAUGUUCUUUGAUGACUAUGAUAUUGAUAUAUAAUAUAUUUCAGUAUUUUUUGUUUAAUGGUGUAUUUGAUGUCGAUUUUUUGUUUAAUGUUAUUUGGUAUUUUUCUAUUCACUUCAUAUAUUUGAACUUGUAUAAGUUUUGUGAUGUUAUAUACCAGGCAUAUGCUUUAUAUAUAUAUAGAUUGGCAUUUUGCCAUUGUAUCAUAGUUGGAAAGAGAUAUGUCUGACUAUGAAAUUUGCUUUUCCAUACUCUUUAUGUGCAUAUACGUCUUUAGGUCCUUUGUCAAGCAGCCUUUGGUGGUGCUCUUUUAGUCUAUUGACGCAUGCAAGCCUUCGGUGAUUGUUUGCCCAGUGCAUAUUAUUUCACUAGCGCCUUUUGUUGCUCUUGAAUUCCUCUUUGGGUCAUGGAACUUAUUUAGGGCUCAUCGCUUGUGGUUUUCUAUGCAGAUGCAUUGAGGAGUAGAGUUCUUCAAUUUAUUUAAAAUUCAUUUUACUUUGGUAUUGCUUUAAUUUAUUUUCUAUUUAUUGCACAUGCAUUGCAGUAGCACGCCACAAUUCUUUAUUUGGUGUCUAGUCUUGAAGAAUGAUGCAGUAGCUUAUAUCGGUUGCAUCUUGAACUUGGAAGUUCAUACUCUAAAAGAAAUAUUCGUCUUUUAGUAUACCUAAGUCCAUGUUAAUGUGGUAGGGCUGCCUAUUGUGGCAGGAAGAUCUCAACAAUCCUACUUCGAAUGAUUCGUCAUCCCAUCUCUUCUAUGUUGACCUGUUUGUGUUUUUGUGAAUAUCAUAAGUUGGACUGAGUAAUGAGAUUUGCUUUUUUGAUUCUGCA